GUAGGAGGGUCAUGGGUCAUGCUGGACCCACAGCAUGGCCAUUGUGACUUCAUCCUGUAAGGGAUGAAGAGGAAGUCAAGAUUUAAAAUAGAGGCAAGCCAUGAUCAUUGUCAGGAACCAGGAUCUAGAAUCAGCCGAGGCCUGCCUUCACCCCAGAGCAUUCCACAGGAUCAGGCUUUUCUAUUUUCUACUCAUCUGAGUCCACACUCUUUAUUUCCUUGGUUUUAAAUUCAGUUUCUCUAAUUCUUCAAAAAACUUGAGCAA
rnacentral:lncRNA from 1 species